AAGCUCGUAGUUGAAUUUCGGGAUUAGUACGUCGGUCGUGCCUUAGGUACGUACUGGUGUUACUGGUUCCUACCUUCUGACGAACCAUCAUGUCAUUAAUUUGGUGUGGUGGGGAAUCAGGACAGUUACUUUGAAAAAAUUAGAGUGUUUAAAGCAGGCUCGCGCUUGAAUACAUUAGCAUGGAAUAAUGAAAUAGGACGUUGAUCCUAUUUUGUUGGUUUCUAGGAUUGACGUAAUGAUUAAUAGGAUAGUUGGG
rnacentral:rRNA from 1 species